rnacentral:rRNA from 1 species
CCUACGGGAGGCAGCAGUGAGGGAUAUUGGUCAAUGGGGGAAACCCUGAACCAGCAACGCCGCGUGAGGGAAGACGGUUUUCGGAUUGUAAACCUCUGUCCUCAGUGAAGAUAAUGACGGUAGCAGAGGAGUAAGCUCCGGCUAACUACGUGCCAGCAGCCGCGGUAAUACGUAGGGAGCAAGCGUUGUCCGGUUUUACUGGGUGUAAAGUGUGCGUAGGCGGCCUUGCAAGUCAGAAGUGAAAUCCAUCGGCUUAACCCGUGAACUGCUUUUGAAACUGGAGGGCUUGAGUGAAGUAGAGGAGGGCGGAACUCCAGGUGUAGCGGUGAAAUGCGUAGAGAUCGGGAGGAACACCAGUGGCGAAGGCGGCCCUCUGGGCUUUAACUGACGCUGAAGUACGAAAGCGUGGGUAGCAAACAGGAUUAGAUACCCCAGUAGUC